rnacentral:rRNA from 1 species
ACUCCUACGGGAGGCAGCAGUGGGGAAUAUUGCACAAUGGGGAAACCCUGAUGCAGCCAUGCCGCGUGUGUGAAGAAGGCCUUCGGUUGUAAGCACUUUCAGUAGGGAGGAAGGUAGUGUAGUUAACACCUGCAUUAUUUGACGUUACCUACAGAAGAAGCACCGGCUAACUCCGUGCCAGCAGCCGCGGUAAUACGGAGGGUGCGAGCGUUAAUCGGAAUUACUGGGCGUAAAGCGCAUGCAGGCGGCCUGUUAAGUCAGAUGUGAAAGCCCGGGGGCUUAACCUCGGAAUUGCAUUUGAAACUGGCAGGCUAGAGUCUUGUAGAGGGGGUAGAAUUUCAGGUGUAGCGGUGAAAUGCGUAGAGAUCUGAAGGAAUACCAGUGGCGAAGGCGGCCCCCUGGACAAAGACUGACGCUCAGAUGCGAAAGCGUGGGGAGCAAACAGGAUUAGAUACCCUGGUAGACUGUCA